rnacentral:rRNA from 1 species
GUGCCAGCCGCCGCGGUAAUACCGGCAGCCCGAGUGAUGGCCGAUCUUAUUGGGCCCAAAGCGUCCGUAGCCGGCCGGACAAGUCCGUUGGGAAAUCGACGCGCCUAACGCGUCGGCGUCCAGCGGAAACUGUCCGGCUUGGGGCCGGAAGAUCCGAGGGGUACGUCCGGGGUAGGAGUGAAAUCCCGUAAUCCUGGACGGACCGCCGGUGGCGAAAGCGCCUCGGAAGGACGGACCCGACGGUGAGGGACGAAAGCUGGGGUCUCGAACCGGAUUAGAAACCCGAGUAGUCC